UCAACCUAGUACGAGAGGAACCGUUG
rnacentral:snRNA from 1 species